rnacentral:rRNA from 1 species
AACCUUUAGCUAAACCAAAUAUUAAAGGCAACGCCUGCCCGGUGAACAAUUAAACGGCCGCGGUACCCUAACCGUGCAAAGGUAGCGUAAUCAUUUGUCUAUUAAUUGUAGACCUGUAUGAAAGGCAAAAUGAGGGCCUAACUGUCUCUUAUAACUAAUCAAUUAAACUGAUCUCCCAGUACAAAAGCUGGAAUAAAAACAUUAGACCAGAAGACCCUGUGAAGCUUAAAUAAAACUAUCAAGCCAUAUGAUAGCUAAUUUCGGUUGGGGCGACCUUGGAAAAAAAAAGAACUUCCAAACAAAAAGCUUUAUAUAGCAACAAACCAAAGGCUAACAGGCCAAACAACGACCCAGCACCGCUGAUUAAUGAAACAAGUUACUCCAGGGAUAACAGCGCUAUCUUCUUCAAGAGUCCAUAUCAAAAAGAAGGUUUACGACCUCGAUGUUGGAUCAGGACAUCCUAAUGGUGCAGCCGCUAUUAAGGGUUCGUUUGUUCAACGAUUAACAGUCCU